rnacentral:lncRNA from 1 species
GAAAGACUUAGGUACCAUUCACAAAACCAAAGAGAUGGCAUUGGGAAAGCCCUCCUCUAUUGAGUAGCCCAGUGGUUAAAGGAUGAGAGUAACUCAUCAAAAGGAGAGUCAAGAAAGACGAAAGAAGGUUCGUGUAAAGAGUCUUCAUGUGGCAGUGAACUACAGAGCAGUUCAUUGGCAGAGCAGAACACCACCGUUCACUUGGAUGAUGGUGAAUAUUGGUCCAAUCGUGCAGCUGUUUAUAAAGGAAAACCCCACAGAGCUAUCUUUGAAGACAGCCUAGAGAAAAUAUACAGAAACAUGUACAAGAAAGCGUGUGGCUCCUCCAUUUCAAAAAGAAAAAUGCAUUCCUGAAAGCAAUACAACCGGAAAUGUACAGUAUAUAAGGUUCAUAUUUUUAGUGAGAAUUAUUUUUGUGUAACAAAUAUUUGUACUCUCUUUUUUAACAUGUAACAUUCACUAGGAAGAUCUGUUAUGGUCUAGUGGGAUUUUGAAGCUGGGAUGCCAAAAUGAAAAUGAUCAAAUAAAAAGAAAAUCUGAAAUAACAGGAGCUAAGCAGGCACAUUGUUCUCUUAAGAAGCUAGUAUGGUGGUAUUUCACCACUACCACCCCUCUUUGACCUUUUCAGUUCUGAAGUAGGCGCUGAGUAAACUCGAUGUGCCUCUCAAUCAUCACUUCAAGCUUUGACUACAGCCAGCUCUAUUUCAAUUAUUAAAACUCUUCAGCAAUUUAAAUAUAACUGGCUUAAAGUGAAACCUGUCCUGGUGUUUAAUGGGAGAGCAUACAGGGCUGUCUCUUUGGAGAGGUUUUUUUAGAAGGUUUAAUAUCUGCAUGUUCCAGGUCUAGAAAUGGAGAAGGGAAAAAUUCUGAUAGUGAUAUGCAGAUGUGUUGAAAGUGUUUCCUAGCAGUGUUAGCCAGGAAGUUUCUAUUAAUGCCAAGCUCUUUUGAAAAUAGCUAUCUGUAUAUUGGAAGAAAACAUCUCUUCUUCAGGCAUCUCAGAGUUACAAUGUCCAAAUGUUUCCAAGAUCACUUUCAAAGCUAGAGCAGAUGUCCCAUGCAAGCAGCAUGAAGUCCCUGCAUUACAGUUCCACCACAUUUGGAGCCCAUCCUCACUAGCCUGCUGGGAAUGUAUUGGCGGAAAUUGCCUCUUUUUGUUAAAGGCUACCAACUGUUCUGCAGUAGUUAAAUGCUGUCCCAGGAGAGGGAACCUUUUCAGCCUCCCACUGAGCAAUUCCCACAUUAACAGACCAGGGCAACUUGCCCAGCUAUUGGAAAAGCUGAGUGAUUUGAAAGGGCAUGAGUGUCCAUCUCCCGCUUCCUUCUGAAAUGGGGAAAAACAAACGUGUAGCCUGGCUCGUUGGCUGCCGAGGCAGCAGAUGGGACUGAUUCAGUUGCACGAGUGCCAUCUUACACCUUGGUCUUGGACAAAGGAUAAAACUAGUUGCACAGAUGGCAGAAACCAAGGACUGUAACCUGCCAGCGUACGGAAGGUUGGCCGACUCCUUUCCAUCCCAUAUUACUAAAAUAACCUAAUUGAUUUAAGGAAGCAGCCGGUGAGAGAGUAAAUCAGUCGGGGAGCACAUUGAAAGGCUAUGCAUUGCAGCUUCAGGAAAGGGAGCCUUCGGGGGCAUUUCUGCUUCUGGUAACAGUUAAACCAGUCAUUGGAUUAGCAGCUCCAUGUUUCUGGCCUGGACCGUGCUUGGCAUUGGCUGUGCUCUAGAACUGCAAAUUGCACAACAGAAAUUAAACCGGUUAUUUAGUCCUCAUAACCUCCUAUAAUACAGAGAAUCAUUAUUGGUCACUUUUUACCGACGGGAAACUACAGCACAGACUUGCUCACAGCCAUGGAGCCAUUGCACAGCAGGAUUUAGACUGUACAAGUUUGUGUCCUUGCCCUGUGCCCACCCAUUACAACGUGCUGCUUUUCUGUAGCUUCCUCUUCCUCUCCCAUGUGGUAAUUUCUUAAUAGAUAAAAAUAACUAAUGGAAAGAUGGCAGGAAGGAACUGGGGAGAUCACUUACGGAUUGUGAAAAGCCGGGGCAGAGUUUGAUUGGCUCUCUGCCAGCAUGUGACCUUAAGUGACCCAAUGGAAAUCUGUGUGCAGGUUGGGGUCCUGUCUCCCUGCUCAUAUGCUUUCAUCACUUCCUUGUUCAGUACUCCCUCCUGGCCUGACCCCAGUGUCAGAGGUGAGUGAAAACUAAGCUCAGAUAUCCAGAGUAGAGCUGAUGGAUGCCCUGGACAUGCUAGAUCUGCAAGACAUGAAGCAUGUGUUCUCUGGACCUCAUGUUGGCUCUCCUUCCUAGUGUCUAAAAUGUUUUAGCAGCAGCAGCAAGCUUUCUUCACAGUCUCAGCUAGAG